rnacentral:piRNA from 1 species
UAUUUUGGAAUUAUAUGACUGGA